rnacentral:rRNA from 1 species
GAUGAACGCUGGCGGUAUGCUUAACACAUGCAAGUCGAACGGGAUGCUUAGGCAUCUAGUGGCGGACGGGUGAGUAACGCGUGAGAAUCUGGCUCCAGGUCGGGGAUAACAGUUGGAAACGACUGCUAAUACCGGAUGUGCCGAGAGGUGAAAGAUUUAUUGCCUGGAGAUGAGCUCGCGUCUGAUUAGCUAGUUGGUGGUGUAAGGGACCACCAAGGCGUCGAUCAGUAGCUGGUCUGAGAGGAUGAUCAGCCACACUGGGACUGAGACACGGCCCAGACUCCUACGGGAGGCAGCAGUGGGGAAUUUUCCGCAAUGGGCGAAAGCCUGACGGAGCAAUACCGCGUGAGGGAGGAAGGCUCUUGGGUCGUAAACCUCUUUUCUCAAGGAAGAAGAAAGUGACGGUACUUGAGGAAUAAGCAUCGGCUAACUCCGUGCCAGCAGCCGCGGUAAUACGGAGGAUGCAAGCGUUAUCCGGAAUGAUUGGGCGUAAAGGGUCUGCAGGUGGAACUGAAAGUCUGCUGUUAAAGAGUUUGGCUUAACCAAAUAAAAGCGGUGGAAACUACAGAACUAGAGUGUGGUAGGGGCAAAAGGAAUUCCUGGUGUAGCGGUGAAAUGCGUAGAUAUCAGGAAGAACACCGGUGGCGAAAGCGUUUUGCUAGACCAUAACUGACACUGAGGGACGAAAGCUAGGGGAGCGAAUGGGAUUAGAUACCCCAGUAGUCCUAGCCGUAAACGAUGGAUACUAGGCGUGGCUUGUAUCGACCCGAGCCGUGCCGGAGCUAACGCGUUAAGUAUCCCGCCUGGGGAGUACGCACGCAAGUGUGAAACUCAAAGGAAUUGACGGGGGCCCGCACAAGCGGUGGAGUAUGUGGUUUAAUUCGAUGCAACGCGAAGAACCUUACCAAGACUUGACAUCCUGCGAAUCCUGGUGAAAGCUGGGAGUGCCUUAGGGAGCGCAGAGACAGGUGGUGCAUGGCUGUCGUCAGCUCGUGUCGUGAGAUGUUGGGUUAAGUCCCGCAACGAGCGCAACCCUCGUUUUUAGUUGCCAGCAUUAAGUUGGGCACUCUAGAGAGACUGCCGGUGACAAACCGGAGGAAGGUGAGGAUGACGUCAAGUCAGCAUGCCCCUUACGUCUUGGGCUACACACGUACUACAAUGCUACGGACAGAGGGCAGCGAGCCAGGGAUGGCAAGCGAAUCCAGAAACCGUAGCUCAGUUCAGAUCGAAGGCUGCAACUCGCCUUCGUGAAGGAGGAAUCGCUAGUAAUUGCAGGUCAGCAUACUGCAGUGAAUUCGUUCCCGGGCCUUGUACACACCGCCCGUCACACCAUGGAAGUUGGUCACGCCCGAAGUCAUUACCCCAACCGAAAGGAGGGGGAUGCCUAAGGUAGGACUGGUGACUGGGGUGAA